GGUCAUGGCCAAUAAGUACAUACCUUGUGGUCUCAGUACUUUCUGUCUAGUUACUGUGGAAAACCAAAUGAAAGUAAAAAACAAUGAGAACAGAGAAUUUCUUACAUGUUUUCCUGCCUCAGCAGACAUAGUUCACUGUGAAAUAGGUAACCUAGACAAUCCAGGAGCCACAUAAAGAAAUCCACUCAGAAUGAGGAUAUUAGCAAAUAUAGCAGGUAUAGAAAAGAUAACCUACUGAAAGGGAGAAUAUGUUUGCUAAUUAUAUAACCAAUGAAGAUUUACUAUCCAAAAUACAUAAAAGUUCAUACACUUACUUUUUAAAAAUGCAACCCAAUUAGAAAAACAGGCAGAAGGGCUAAAUAGACAUUUUCCCAAAAACAUACAAAUGGCCAAUAGGCAUAUGCAAAGAUGCUCAACGUGGUUAAUCAGCACAGAAAUUCAAAUUAAAACCAAACUGAGAUAUCACCUCACACCUGUCAGAAUGGCUAUCAUCAAAAAGAACACAAAUAAAUAAAUGUUGGUGAGGAUGUGGAGAAAUGGGAAUCCUUGUACAUUGCUGGUAGGGAUGUAAAUUGUUGCAGCCAUGGUGGAAAACAUUAUGGAAGUUUCUCAAAAAACUAAAAAUAGAGUUGCCAUAUCAUCCUGCAAUUCUGCCCCUAGGUAUAUACCGAAAAAAAUGAAAACAAUAAUUUGAAAAGAUACAUGCACCUCGAUGUCCAUAGCGACAUUAUUUAUAAUCACCAAGAUAUGGAAGCAACUUAAGUGUCCAUGGAUAAAGAAGAUGUGGUAUAUUCACAAUGGAAUAUUACUCAGCCAUAAAAAGGAGUGAAAUAAUGUCAUUUGCAACAACAUGGAUGGACCUAGAGAUUAUCAUACCAAGUGAAAUAAGUCAGACAAAAACAAACAUCACAUGAUAUCACUUAUAUAUAGAAUCUAAAAAAUGAUACAAAUGAACUUAUGUACAAAAUAAAAACAGACUCACAGACAUAGAAAACAAACUUAUGGUUACCAAAGGCAAAAGGUGAGGGGGAAAGGGAUAAAUUAGGAGUUUGGGAUUAAAAUAUACAUAAUGCUAUACAUAAAAUAGAUGGCCAACAAGGAUCUAUUAUGCACAGGAACCUCUACUCAAUAUUCUGUAAUAACAUGUAUGGGGAAAGAAUCUGAAAAAGAAUGAUAUCUGUAUAUGUACAACUGACUCAUUUUGCUAUACACUUGAAACCAACACAACAUUGUAAAUCAACUAUACUGUAAUAUAAAAUAAAAAUUAAAUUAAACUUAAAAAUAAAAAAUAAAACAGGAGUUCCCAUCGUGGCACAGUGGAAAUGAAUCCAACUAGGAACCAAGAGGUUGCAGUUUGAUCCCUGACCUUGCUCAAUGGAUUAAGGAUCUGGUGUUGCUGUGAGCUGUGGUGUAGUUCGCAGAUACACGACUCAGAUCUGGCAUUGCUGUGGCUCUAGCGUAGGCCAGUAGCUACAGCUUGGAUUAGAACCCUAGCCUAGGAACCUCCAUAUGCCACAGGUGCAGCCCUAAAAAGACAAAAGACAAAAAAACAGAAAACAAAAAACAACUUUAUUUAGUUUGUCUCGUUCACACCUGUAGCCCCAUGGCUUCGAAUGGUGUUUAGAAGCAAGUGGGUACUUAAUGGAAAUCAAAAGCAUCAGCAAUGGAGUAUUGGCACCAUGGAGGUGUAAUGUCAGCUCUGCUACAUUACAGGGCAAGGUCUGGACAUGUCAGAGAAAAAUCCAGAGCUCAGUUUUAUCAACUGAAAGAGUUCGAUAAAACCUGCCCUGUCAACCUCAAGGAAUUUGUUCUGCUAAAUAAGGCAGUGAGUAUAAAACUUCUCUGAAAAUACUCUACCUUCCAGGGUUUCAGAAGUUAUGUUGGGAAAUGUGGGACACUAUUUUGGAAAGGAACAUAGCAGUAGGUACAAAAGCCACACAUGAAAUGAUCUGAAGAACAGAUUCAAAGGAAGAAAAAUGUUGAAUGUGGAGUUGCCACCAUGGUGCAGCAGAAACGAAUCCGACUAGGAACCAUGAAGUUGCAGGUUCGAUCCCUGGCCUCGUUCAUUAGGUUAAGGAUCUGGCAUUGCCGUGCGCUGUGGUAUAGGUGGCAGACACGGCUCGGAUCUGGCAUUGCUGUGGCUCUGGUGUAGGCCAGCAGCUACAGCUCCAAUUAGACCCCUAGCCUAGGAAACUCCAUAUGCUGCGGGUACGGCCCUAAAAGGACAAAAAGACCAAAAAAAAAAAAAAA
rnacentral:lncRNA from 1 species